GACGAACGCUGGCGGCGUGCUUUAACACAUGCAAGUCGAACGAAGCACUUAAUGAGAUUUCUUCGGAUUGAUUAUUUGUGACUGAGUGGCGGACGGGUGAGUAACGCGUGGGUAACCUGCCCCAGACCGGGGGAUAACAGUCGGAAACGACUGCUAAUACCGCAUAAGCGCACAGUGCCGCAUGGCACGGUGUGAAAAACUCCGGUGGUAUAAGAUGGACCCGCGUCUGAUUAGCUUGUUGGUGGGGUAACGGCCCACCAAGGCGACGAUCAGUAGCCGGCCUGAGAGGGUGAACGGCCACAUUGGGACUGAGACACGGGCCCAAACUCCUACGGGAGGCAGCAGUGGGGAAUAUUGCACAAUGGGGGAAACCCUGAUGCAGCGACGCCGCGUGAGUGAUGAAGUAUUUCGGUAUGUAAAACUCUAUCAGCAGGGAAGAUAAUGACGGUACCUGACUAAGAAGCACCGGCUAAAUACGUG
rnacentral:rRNA from 1 species